GACGAACGCUGGCGGCGUGCUUAACACAUGCAAGUCGAGCGGUAAGGCCCUUUCGGGGGUACACGAGCGGCGAACGGGUGAGUAACACGUGGGUGACCUGCCCUCAGCUCUGGGAUAAAGCCUGGGAAACCGGGUCUAAUACCGGAUAUGACUCCAUGACGCAUGUUGUGGGGUGGAAAGCCUUGUGCGGCUGAGGAUGGGCCCGCGGCCUAUCAGCUUGUUGGUGGGGUGAUGGCCUACCAAGGCGACGACGGGUAGCCGGCCUGAGAGGGCGACCGGCCACACUGGGACUGAGACACGGCCCAGACUCCUACGGGAGGCAGCAGUGGGGAAUCUUGCGCAAUGGGCGAAAGCCUGACGCAGCGACGCCGCGUGAGGGAUGACGGCCU
rnacentral:rRNA from 1 species